CCGCCAAUCCAUAAAAGGAAAGAAAGGAAGGGAGGCGCUAGCCCCUUCCCCCUUGCAGCCGCCUACCAGAUCUGCUCUCCCCCUCUUAUAGGUACCCAAACACUAGGUCCAAGACCUAAAAUCUCUUGAGAAGAGGUUGGUAUAAGUCCCUCUCAGAUCUGGAGUUGAUCUGAGGUCGUUUGAGGUGCAGGUGAGAUCUCCAUC
rnacentral:lncRNA from 1 species